AGUGAACGCUGGCGGUAGGCCUAACACAUGCAAGUCGAACGGCAGCACAGUAAGAGCUUGCUCUUACGGGUGGCGAGUGGCGGACGGGUGAGGAAUACAUCGGAAUCUACUUUUUCGUGGGGGAUAACGUAGGGAAACUUACGCUAAUACCGCAUACGACCUACGGGUGAAAGCAGGGGAUCUUCGGACCUUGCGCGAUUGAAUGAGCCGAUGUCGGAUUAGCUAGUUGGCGGGGUAAAGGCCCACCAAGGCGACGAUCCGUAGCUGGUCUGAGAGGAUGAUCAGCCACACUGGAACUGAGACACGGUCCAGACUCCUACGGGAGGCAGCAGUGGGGAAUAUUGGACAAUGGGCGCAAGCCUGAUCCAGCCAUACCGCGUGGGUGAGGAAGGCCUUCGGGUUGUAAAGCCCUUUUGUUGGGAAAGAAAAGCAGCAGGUUAAUACCCCGCUGUUCUGACGGGACCCAAAGAAUAAGCACCGGCUAACUUCG
rnacentral:rRNA from 1 species